GAUUGUGCUCGCGGCUGUGCUGAGAACUUUUUGGUGUGGUCUGUAAGCCAGAGCUGUGGAAUGUCUCCCCUCCCUCCUCCCAUCCCUUCCUCUCUCUCUAAAUGAGGUAUGGCUGAAGACACCCCUGCUUUGUGAGAAUCAGUAAAAUGUGUUCAUUCAAACCAUCUGCAAAGUUUUGAAAUAAACAAAGGGAAGGAGAACAGUAAUGCCACACGUUUUCUGGGAAGUACCAAGGUACAAUUUCUGACCUGCUAAGGCAUCUGGGGGCAUAUCCAAGGUGGGAUGGGGGAAGGUGACAAGAAGGCCCAAAUCUCAAGUGAGGAUCCAAAACCCUUUGUUUGGAAGGUGGUUCCUUUUGUGUGUUAUAACUGGCAUGUCUGAUCUCCCAGCAGAAUGCUCUGAGAACCGGCCUGUGAAUGGGUGAAUGUCUGUAGGAUGGUGUCCUCCACCUUUUCUGUACAGGCUAGGACACUUUGGCCAGGGUGGUGAGCCUCAUUGCCAGUGGGUGAGCAAAACCAUGAUGUGUCUCUGCAGCCUUGCAGCCAGGGCAUAGGCUGAAGUCUGGUCACUGCUAGCCAAAUUUCUGGAGUUCAGUGUUCAAAGUAAAACACAUCAAAAGGCUAAGCAACAAAAUGUGUAUCUCCUUCCCUGCUGACACUCUUUGACAUUAGGCUGCUUGUGAUUUACAGAGUUUAGGACUAGGAGGAACAACCAGAAAUCUAGUCAAAUCUCCAGUGUAAUUGAACCAGUUAAUUGUUGCUUGAACCAUACUUCUUUCUUGACCAUAGACACAAGAUUUUCCAUUUAAAACAAAAGGUCAGCUGUGCUUGGGCAAAUGUAAAGUUCAGCCAGCCCUGUGCCUGUUCUCUUGUCAGAGAGGCUUAGGGACAAAGGAAAAAGACAAGAAAGUUAAAAGAUUAUUUUUUCUCUCUAAAAACC